GACGAACGCUGGCGGCGUGCCUAAUACAUGCAAGUCGAACGAGAGCGACCGGUGCUUGCACUGGUCAAUCUAGUGGCGAACGGGUGAGUAACACGUGGGUAACCUGCCCAUCAGAGGGGGAUAACAUCCGGAAACGGAUGCUAAAACCGCAUAGGUCUUCGAACCGCAUGGUUUGAAGAGGAAAAGAGGCGCAUGCUUCUGCUGAUGGAUGUACCCGCGGUGUAUUGGCUAGUUUGUGUGGUAACGGCUCACCAAGGCCGGGAUGCAUAGCCGACCUGAGGGGGGGAUCGGCGACAUGGGGACUGAGACACGGCCCAAACACCUAAGGGAGGCAGCAGUAGGGAAUCGUCCGCAAUGGAGGGAAGUCUGACGGAGCAACGCCACGUGAGUGAAGAAGGUUUUCGGAUCGUAAAACUGUGUUGUUAGAGAAGAACAAGUGCUAGAGUAACUGUUAGCGGAGUGACGGUAUCUAACCAGAAAGCCACGGCUAACUACGUG
rnacentral:rRNA from 1 species